AUUGUUUGAUUGCAAGAAAAACUUCGAGGUAUUAGAGGAACUCCAUGAAACUCAAAAGGACGCCAUGAUUGAUAAUGAAUUCGAUAGCUUCUUAUGGAGAAUUGAUUUCUUCCAGUCCUCGCCUCUUGCGUGGGAUUCGGUGAUUGCUAUUUACUGACGGUCUUCAUAAUAACUUCUCCUGAACCACAACAACAUCGAUGAUAACGUUCUUCGCGUUUAAUG